CAGAGGCUGGAGGAAGAACAGUACAUGGUCACAGGAACUUGCUCCAGGGGCCGAAGUGUCUGGCCAAGGAGAUGAAGAUUGGCCUGCGCAGCCAUGCAGCCAGGUCCACUGUGUGCUCGUCAUCCUGUCCUACUCUGGCCACCUCUGCUCUCUAGCACUUUCUGCAGGUCUGUUUAUCAGCAUUUUGACAAUGAGGAGGAGGAACAGCACCGCUGGAAGAGGAGAAUGCAGCCAGUUUCAGGGGGCUCUGGACGUCAUCCUUAAGGCCUUCACCUACCACUCCAAAUACCAGAAGGAACGGGGACCCUCUUUAUCCUUGUUCCUUGUCUACAGAUUUCACAAACAAUAGAACAAAAAGAUUAUAUUAAAUAGUUGUGUCUGUACUCAACAUGUGCAGACUUUUUCACUUCAUUAUUUCCUAAACAAUAAAAUACAACUAUUUGCAUAAUA